rnacentral:rRNA from 1 species
UACCAGCACCCCGAGUGGUCGGGACGAUUAUUGGGCCUAAAGCAUCCGUAGCCGGUUUUACAAGUCCUCCGUUAAAUCCAGCUGCUUAACAGAUGGGCUGCGGAGGAUACUAUAAGACUAGGAGGCAGGAGAGGCAAGCGGUACUCAGUGGGUAGGGGUAAAAUCCGUUGAUCCAUUGAAGACCACCAGUGGCGAAGGCGGCUUGCCAGAAUGCGCUCGACGGUGAGGGAUGAAAGCUGGGGGAGCAAACC